GCCCCCGAAGUCACCCCAAACAUCUAACAUAUAUUUCGUACGGUCAAAUGACUUUCUAGCACGUAAAAUGUAAACAAGACAUCUUGAGAAAAUGUGUUUUCAUCUGCAGCCUAGAAGGGAUGAUGACAAGCGUGUUGACCCCUUUACUUGCAAUUCACAUCCAGGAAUUUAACUGAUAUGUAUUCACAAAGAUGCCAGACCAUUCUAACACUGAAAAGUUAACAAGAAAGAAUAUAAUAAACCUCCGUGUAACCAACACCCAGCUUCCUGUUAUCUACCCUCAAAAGGUUCCUUCUUAAAAAUAGUACAUCAUGUUUUAUGUCCCUGGAUAUGUUCCAGUGUAUCCUGGUUUACAGUCUAUGGGAACUUGAAUACUGUAUAAAAUCUCAAUUAUGUGGAACUGGUUCA